rnacentral:tRNA from 1 species
GAGGGUAUAGUUCAGUGGGUAGGGUGCAUGCUUAGUCUGUGUGAGGUCCUGGGUUCAAUCCCCAGUACUUCCA